UACGUAGGGUGCGAGCGUUAAUCGGAAUUACUGGGCGUAAAGCGUGCGCAGGCGGCUUCGCAAGUCAGGCGUGAAAUCCCCGGGCUUAACCUGGGAAUGGCGUCUGAAACUACGGAGCUGGAGUGUGGCAGAGGGAGGUAGAAUUCCACGUGUAGCGGUGAAAUGCGUAGAUAUGCGGAGGAACACCGAUGGCGAAGGCAAUCCCCUGGGCCUGCACUGACGCUCAUGCACGAAAGCGUGGGGAGCAAACAGG
rnacentral:rRNA from 1 species